rnacentral:rRNA from 1 species
UCCAGACUCCUACGGGAGGCAGCAGUGGGGGAUAUUGCACAAUGGGGGAAACCCUGAUGCAGCGACGCCGCGUGUGGGAAGACGGUCCUCUGGAUUGUAAACCACUGUCCCCAGGGACGAAAAUGACGGUACCUGACUAAGAAGCCCCGGCUAACUACGUGCCAGCAGCCGCGGUAAUACGUAGGGGGCAAGCGUUAUCCGGAUUUACUGGGUGUAAAGGGAGCGUAGACGGCUGUGCAAGCCAGAUGUGAAAGCCCGGGGCUCAACCCCGGGACUGCAUUUGGAACUGCGUGGCUUGAGUGUCGGAGAGGCAGGCGGAAUUCCUAGUGUAGCGGUGAAAUGCGUAGAUAUUAGGAGGAACACCAGUGGCGAAGGCGGCCUGCUGGACGAUGACUGACGUUGAGGCUCGAAAGCGUGGGGCGCAAACAGGAUUAGAUACCCGAGUACA